GACGAACGCUGGCGGCGUGCCUAAUACAUGCAAGUAGGACGCUGAAGGAGGAGCUUGCUUCUCUGGAUGAGUUGCGAACGGGAGAGUAACGCGUAGGUAACCUGCCUGGUAGCGGGGGAUAACUAUUGGAAACGAUAGCUAAUACCGCAUAAUAGUAGAUGUUGCAUGACAUUUGCUUAAAAGGUGCAAUUGCAUCACUACCAGAUGGACCUGCGUUGUAUUAGCUAGUUGGUGGGGUAACGGCUCACCAAGGCGACGAUACAUAGCCGACCUGAGAGGGUGAUCGGCCACACUGGGACUGAGACACGGCCCAGACUCCUACGGGAGGCAGCAGUAGGGAAUCUUCGGCAAUGGACGGAAGUCUGACCGAGCAACGCCGCGUGAGUGAAGAAGGUUUUCGGAUCGUAAAGCUCUGUUGUAAGAGAAGAACGAGUGUGAGAGUGGAAAGUUCACACUGUGACGGUAUCUUACCAGAAAGGGACGGCUAACUACGUG
rnacentral:rRNA from 1 species